rnacentral:lncRNA from 1 species
GCAUCAACUUGCUGGCAUGAAGUGUUUCUGUUAAUUGGUGUGCAAGCGGAUGGUGUCAGUGAAGGUAUGUGAGCUUGCACUGUGAGCAUUAGCAGGCCCUGUUUCCAAGGUUUGCAAUCAGUCAAAGCAAGAAUACAAGGCCAUAACCAUGACUCAUAGUGUCUAUCUAUCCUAUGGUAAAAGUCUCCCUUAGAAAGAUUCCUUUAGUCAAAAUGGACUCAUGUUAACCCUUAUAAAAGAACUGCUAUGCAAUGAAUACCUCUAGGCCAUAGUAGUUGUCCGUCGAUGCAGUGAUUUGAGAAUUGAACUCAAUGUUUCAAGCAUCUUUUUUUUUUAUUACCUCCCACCCCCAACUCUCAGGCCCAAAAUAUGUUUCAAGCAUCUUUAUUUGUUGAUACUGAAAGAAAGAAAAAACUUUUAUUUGCUUCAAAACUGAAAACUAUUAUGACUAUUGUAUUUGUCAAUUUACCGCUGAAUCUGUCAAAACCAUUGCCCCAAGUAGGAGUUUUAUUCAUAGUUCAUACAUUUUUCUGCAUGGUACGUGCAAUUGAGUAGUCAUACAUAUCUUCAUGAGUUAUUAUUGUUACAGAGAAGUGUUUAUGUCUCCAUUAAGUGAACUCCCUCUGUUUGAGUUCUGUAUAACUUUUGUACUAUGAGGGGCUUAAAGUUGCUUACAUGGACAUUUUCAGUUUGCUAGAUCCACUCUCUUCAAAAUCACUCAUUCUUCUAAAGAUCAAAAGAUACUCCACCAAUGAAUCUUAUUUGCAUUUUGCCUAUUUGAUAACAGGUGCUUCAAUGGUAAACCUCACCUCUGCAAGCUGUGAAAUUAAUGCUAAACCAUAGUUCUAUUGAUUGAUCACUAUUGAAGUUAUUGACCAUGAGACGCAAGUCUGACAUGCUUGUUUUGGACCAUUUAUUGGCUAAAGAGCAGUUCAUUAUUUGAUAGAUAUUCAACUACAUUGUGUGUCAUGUAAGUCAGUUGACUAAACAAAUUUGGAAUCUAAGGAUAGUUCUUACCAGGAACUCAAUUGUUGCGCUUAUGAGAUAGAUGCAAUAGGUGGUGAAGAAGGCAUCAGAUAAAAAGCCUCCAAGAAGAGCAAGGAGAAAUGCAGUGCCCAUGAAGUUAGUUACCAUGUUCGCUGAAUUAGAUGGAGAGUAAUGCAUGAAUUUUGACAAGUAAAGCACCAGGUUGCUUGCAUUUGCCAGGUAUGUGAGAUUCUCCAGUAUCUCGACAACUAAAAUUGCAAGCGGAGAAAAUCAAGUAAGUAUUUGUUGUGGCAUUUCUCUGGUUGUUAAAAGUGAACAAAGGUGCAGAGGGAUUAUCCUAUCAAAAAAUUCUAUCUUCAACUUUUGUGUUGAACUCUCUAGCAAUCAUCAUAGCAGUAUAUUUACUACUGGUAAAUAUAUACCUUGAAACAUAGAUAUUCAAACUAACCUAAGACAAAGGAUGCAGCAACCAUGCCACCAUGCUUGCCUCUCAGGGCUGGUCUGUUUCGCCAAUCUACAUAGCCUUCCCAUUUGUCUGAAUAGUGUCUUUCCUCCUGCAUUUGUGGCAUGAAAAGAUCAUGAAACAGGGCUCUCAAUUUGAUGGAGAAGAAUCUAAGUAGAAACACAAAUUAAAGUAUCAGAAAAAGUGUGCACCAUUGCUGUUGACAGUGUAUGCUUAUCUGAUUGCAGGAGACCUGAUCAAACACCUUUACUGUUUUGGU